rnacentral:lncRNA from 1 species
GCCCUUGCUGGAGCCCUCCUGAAGCAAGAGCGAGGAGCGGAGAAGUGUUGGAAUUACAGGCGUGAGCCGCCGCGCCCGGGCCCCUCUGUAAAGUUUUUAACAGAGGUGUGUCUGACCCUGCCUGGAGAGGAGAGGACUGGCCGAGUCAGCAUCUGAAAUGCUGCUGCCCUACGAGACAGGCAGACAGGGUCGGCAGUGCCCGGGGGCCACGCAGGUCUCCCUCUGGGAGGAGGGGACAGCUCAGCGUGGCAGGGCGGGCUUACUGUCCUGUGUUCCCCCUGAGCCCAGGCGUGUGCUG